GGCUCCGCCUCCGCCUCUAACCCCUCCCCGCCGGGCCCGGACCACGCUAGCCGCUGCCUAGCCCGGGCUCCCGGCAGGAGGGCGCCCGGGCCCAGUACCCGAGUGCCCCGGUCUCUAGAGGGCUACGGAGCGCGUCUGCCUCCAGGACCGGGUAUUUGACUGAGCAGCCUGCGAAGUAGAGCGCGGAAGGUCCGCAGUGGGUGCGGCGCGGCGCAGUCGGGGCUAGCCCACUUGCUCAGCGUAGCUUUUCUAGAGCGUCGGGGGUCUCGAGGGGCCGGGGUUGGACAGCAGCUGCGCGACUCCGAGGGACUCUUCUCUGCAGAUCCAGGCCCGCACCUAUCUGCAGAUGUUCUUCCAUAGAGCAAUUCUCUGCACUUCUUAGAAACAACUGUUGCUUAUACAACUGUUGCUUAUAGCAGAAGACAGCCUUUAUCUCUUCCAGUGAUCCACAGACUUGAUGAAAUCAGUUCGGGCCUCAGAGAGAAGAUGAAUUGUAAGCAAAAUUCAAAAAUCACGAUUCUGGGGAAAAAGACCCCCAAAUCCAGAGCCCUGUAGUACCAGCCCUGCUAGUUCAACUGAAGGCUGCAGCAUGCCCUGAUCUAAACGGGAAAACACAACAAGGAAAAUAUCAGAAGCACAAGCCAGAGCUGUUGUCCUCCUUACUCAUCCACUCAUCCAUCAAGAUAAGUCAGAGAUCAAAAGGAAUUCCCUCUCCAUCCUCCAAGAAAGACACUUGAGGAGACAAUUAGUAACAUGGUGAGAGGAGCUGGAUCUCAAGUCCCCAAAGCACAAAGUAAGAAGCAGCCAGCUCUGCCAAGAGACAGGAAAAAACCCUGACUGGACCUUCAGAGACAGAUCAGGAGGAUCAAGGAAACUCCAAUCGAGCACAUCACAUGGCAUCGUCCCCAUUAUCCACUACUUCCUCCCAACCGCGCUUUCUAAACUGCUGAGGAUGGAAGAGAAAGCAGACUGGACUUGCAGUAUACAUUUCACACUCUCAUCCAACAAGCAACUUAGCCGCUGACACACUGCCAGCUGGUCCCAUCAAGUCAGGUGGCAUGGGUCACCCAACAAGCUGCCUGUUGGAAUAGCUGGCUGUUACAUAGCCUGUUAAGAACCAGGCGAACAAGACCACCAAAAUGUGGCAGCUGCUGUCCAGACAAGACACCUUCAGGCAGAGCUGGGUGCAGCCCGGUGACUCGUGCAGACAACAUCUGGGUUUUAGUUGGAAGACGGCCUCUGCAUUGGAUGAAGCUCUUCCCACAGACUGCAGAUGCCCUGUGGAUGGCUACCUUCCUCUCUGUGAUGGACUGCACCCUUGAGCCAGCCCAAAGAAACACUUCUUUCCCUGAGUCACAUUCACCGGGCAUUUUUUCACAGCAAAGAGGAAAGUGACUAACACAAGUUGUUACCCCAUUUCUGCUAGAUCUGGGCUCCUUUCAUUAGUCAACAUGACAUGGAUUGAACACCCACUCUGCCCUACUACUGAUCUACAAUGAAGGUGCCGGAACAAGGAAGUUAUGGGAACAAGACAGAGUUGGUUCAAAGAGAUGAUCGACAACAGCGCAGACAUGAAUGAGCAGGAUAAUGCAUGAUGACAGCCCAGUGAAGACCAUAAAGCAGAGGAUCCGGGGGCCAAGGAGAAUAUGUCUGCCCUGUGGUCAGGGAGGUCAACUUUUGGGGAAGUAUUUAACAUUGUCCCUGAGGCCUGUGCUUUGAAUCUUCUUGGCCCAUUUCUUAAUAUCAUGGCUCUCAUGACUUGAUCUUAGUGCCUUUCCUCCGCCAUUUCAGCUGUAGGACCCCAGGAAGGCUUCUCAGAGCCUCCCACAGCAAGCCAUAUGCUAUCCUACUACUUAUAAACCCACACUCUAUAAUGGUCCUUCACUCUGGCACCUCAUUAUAGAAAGUAGGAUGAAGUUGGCACCGAGAAUGAUUCCUAUUUGCUUCAGCCACAGUAAUCUCUUCAUUUUCUAAGACUUCAGUUAUGUGUGUUCAAUCAUCAUGGGAAAAUAUUGAAAAGAAAAUUAUUAGAAAUAAGCAGUUUAUUAAUUUAAGUGACUUUUAUUAUAGCAUUUUGUUAUAUGGCUCUACUUUGUUAUUAGUUGUUGGUAAUCAUUUACUAUGCUUUAUAAAUUAUUUGUCAAUAUUAAUAUUUGUUUAUAGGAGAAAAGAGUGCAUAUAGGAUUUGAUGCUAUCUGGGUUUCAAGCAUUCACUGGGGGUCUGGGAAUGGAUCCUCUGAGAUAAAAGGGGCAUGUCUCUUUUAAUACGCAUAAGGUUUACACUGCAGUACUGCUAAGUUCACUUUACUAUUUGGGACUCUGCUGAAAUUAUCUCUUUGCAGAGGAAGAGUAUCUCACCACCCACAUCAGCUUCCUCCUUCACCCAGAACAGAUUCCCAGAAAAUAAAAGUUCCUAAGACUGUUCUAGAAAGUUCAGAGACACAGAUGAGAACUUUGCUCUUUAAUCAUGCUUCAGGAAUGCAGGUGUUAUCUGUACACACUAUUAUCAAUUGUCUUUGAGAUCGCUGGCUAGAGUAAGCUUGGUCAUGAUUUCUAAUCAUUAGAGAUAGGUUGGGAGUUUUCAAUUCAUUUAUUCUCUUUAUUGUAGCUAAUUGAAGAAUACGUUGCCUUUGGAUUCAAAUAGCCAUUACUGGUUCUCUUUGCCAAGCCCUAUGCAAGACAUAUCUCCUUGGGAUUUUGUGAUGGCUUAGUGCUCUGUGUCAGGGAUAGAGAGGUGAGGCUCAGGUGAAUUAAGGGCUAGCUCAAAGUCAAAUGUAGGGGUAGAAACACGUGCAAGUCUUCUGACCCCAGUACAUGGACUUGCAGGCUGGAGCUCUCCUACCUUUCUUUUUACACACAGUAUUGACUCACAUCUUGAGGAAACUGAGGUUAAAUGUAAUGCGCAAGCAUUCAUCUUUGUAAAGAUUUGUUUCAUUGGGACCACUGGUUACAAGUGAAAGCUACAGUGGAUGUGUCCAUGACAUAGAUUAAACACGAUUACAGAGGAGGUGGUGUAUCCCUCACAUCUUGACUUCUCUUACGUUUAAUAUAACCCUGAAGAGGACACAGAAGUUCAAAUAGAGCAUAUGGCAUUCAUAAGGUUACAUACAUGUAAUCAUACAUGAUACUUUUAUUGUAAAUAAAAAACACUAUUUAUAAUGGCAACAAGUGCAUUAUACAGAUAAAACAUAGGACUGCAGCUUCAUUAUUUAUUAAAGGAAAGAAAAAAAAUCUACACAAGUGAUCGGGGAAACAUAGUCUUACUCUGGUGGCAUUUGUCCCUAGAUUGUCCCUAGAUUGCUUUACAGAUUUCAUCACAAUUCAAAUCAAAAUCAUAGCAGGAAUUUGUGGGAUUGUGAUAAACUCAUUUUGAGUUUUCUAUGAAAGUAAUAAAGGCUUUUGAGUAAUCAACACUGAAAAAGAAAACACAGGAAUGGGAGCACUCGACUAGUAAAUGAGACAUUGUUGAGAAGGUGCAGAACAAACAAAUAAACCGAUGGAGAAUCCCUAAAGCAAGGUCACUUGUGCUGCAGUGCACUGACAGAACUCAACACAGCAGCUGUUCUUCAUCGGAGAGGCUGCGACCAUGUAAAAUCAGGAAAUCUUCAAGAUCAGGCCUGUUGACCACUGAUGCUCCCUUACAGGGGAAAAGGUGGAGAGAACAUGGGGAAGCUUAUUACACCUUCUCUUGAGACUCCAGCUUUUUCUUCCUGAACCUCCCAGCCAGUUGUAUAUAAUUCUGUUCCACCUGCACAUGGUCUCAUAGUCUUGGGAGUAUACAGUCUGUGGCAGGCUAGUGGAAGGGAGUGACUCCAUAUUUGCAGUGGUGGGGAAGUCACCCAUCAUUGACAUUGGGAGUGGUUGUGUGGCUACUUUGGGGUCAUUAAUAUACCUAUAAAUAAUUCUUCACCCAUGCUCUGUAAGUAAAAAUAAAGUUAUUAACUCAC
rnacentral:sRNA from 1 species